GCCAUUUUUGACCAUUAUUAUAAAUUUUGUGAUGUCUUCAAAAUGAUAUUUGAAAGAAAGACAAUUAGAAACGUUCCCAAACCAAAAGUUUCAGUUAAGAUACGAAAUUUUAUACCAAAACUGCCAGUCUCUCUCGCGUUUACGUAAACGUUCUACAGGAUGCCAGGGGCAGGGAAAAAAACGCGAGACGACUUGGCUACAAAAUUAUUUCUCUUUUCUGUGAUUAUUUCACAUGUGGUCAUGUGGAGUGGUCAUGUUUUUAAUAUAAAAACAUGGUUUCAGUUGCAUUCACUAAUUUUGUGCUGUUUUGCAAUGCUAUAAAUAAUGGCAUAAUGGUAAUGGCC